rnacentral:rRNA from 1 species
GCCGCGAGGUGGAGCAAACCUCACAAACAGCGUCUCAGUUCAGAUUGCAGGCUGCAACCCGCCUACAUGAAGUUGGAAUCGCUAGUAAUCGCGAAUCAGAAUGUCGCGGUGAAUACGUUCCCGGGUCUUGUACACACCGCCCGUCACACCACGAGAGUUUACAACACCCGAAGUCAGUGGCCUAACCGCAAGGAGGGAGCUGCCUAAGGUGGGGUAGAUGAUUGGGGUGAAGUCGUAACAAGGUACC